UGCUUGUGGGCUUCUCAGUUGGUAGAGCAUGAGAUUCUUAAUCUCAGUGUUGUGGGUUCAAGCCCUACAUGGGGCAA